rnacentral:rRNA from 1 species
AGUGAACGCUGGCGGUAGGCCUAACACAUGCAAGUCGAACGGCAGCACAGUAAGAGCUUGCUCUUACGGGUGGCGAGUGGCGGACGGGUGAGGAAUACAUCGGAAUCUACUUUUUCGUGGGGGAUAACGUAGGGAAACUUACGCUAAUACCGCAUACGACCUACGGGUGAAAGCAGGGGAUCUUCGGACCUUGUGCGAUUGAAUGAGCCGAUGUCGGAUUAGCUAGUUGGCGGGGUAAAGGCCCACCAAGGCGACGAUCCGUAGCUGGUCUGAGAGGAUGAUCAGCCACACUGGAACUGAGACACGGUCCAGACUCCUACGGGAGGCAGCAGUGGGGAAUAUUGGACAAUGGGCGCAAGCCUGAUCCAGCCAUACCGCGUGGGUGAAGAAGGCCUUCGGGUUGUAAAGCCCUUUUGUUGGGAAAGAAAAGCAGCGAGUUAAUACCCCGCUGUUCUGACGGUACCCAAAGAAUAAGCACCGGCUAACUUCGUG